rnacentral:rRNA from 1 species
GAUGAACGCUGGCGGCGUGCCUAAUACAUGCAAGUCGAGCGAACAGACGAGGAGCUUGCUCCUCUGACGUUAGCGGCGGACGGGUGAGUAACACGUGGAUAACCUACCUAUAAGACUGGGAUAACUUCGGGAAACCGGAGCUAAUACCGGAUAAUAUAUUGAACCGCAUGGUUCAAUAGUGAAAGACGGUUUUGCUGUCACUUAUAGAUGGAUCCGCGCCGCAUUAGCUAGUUGGUAAGGUAACGGCUUACCAAGGCGACGAUGCGUAGCCGACCUGAGAGGGUGAUCGGCCACACUGGAACUGAGACACGGUCCAGACUCCUACGGGAGGCAGCAGUAGGGAAUCUUCCGCAAUGGGCGAAAGCCUGACGGAGCAACGCCGCGUGAGUGAUGAAGGUCUUCGGAUCGUAAAACUCUGUUAUUAGGGAAGAACAAAUGUGUAAGUAACUAUGCAGGUCUUGACGGUACCUAAUCAGAAAGCCACGGCUAACUACGUG